rnacentral:ncRNA from 12 species
UGGUUUAGAAGUAGAGAAUGUGCUGCUACGCACCCUUUGGGUCAAAAGAAAUGUGGAAUUGGCGCACCACCGUAACCA